rnacentral:rRNA from 1 species
UGGGGAAUUUUGGACAAUGGGCGAAAGCCUGAUCCAGCCAUGCCGCGUGAGUGAAGAAGGCCUUCGGGUUGUAAAGCUCUUUCGGCCGGGACGAAAUGGCGCGGGGUAAUAUCCCGCGUCGAUGACGGUACCGGAAGAAGAAGGACCGGCUAACUACGUGCCAGCAGCCGCGGUAAUACGUAGGGUCCAAGCGUUAAUCGGAAUUACUGGGCGUAAAGCGUGCGUAGGCGGUUUGCUAAGACAGGUGUGAAAUCCCCGGGCUUAACCUGGGAACUGCGCUUGUAACUAGCAGGCUAGAGUGCGGCAGAGGGGGGUGGAAUUCCAGGUGUAGCAGUGAAAUGCGUAGAUAUCUGGAGGAACACCGAUGGCGAAGGCAGCCCCCUGGGUUAGCACUGACGCUCAUACACGAAAGCGUGGGGAGCAAACAGGAUUAGAUACCCCUGUAGUCC